rnacentral:rRNA from 1 species
CCUACGGUGAGCAGCAGUGAGGAAUAUUGGUCAAUGGGCGCGAGCCUGAACCAGCCAAGUAGCGUGAAGGAUGACUGCCCUACGGGUUGUAAACUUCUUUUAUAAAGGAAUAAAGUGAGGCACGUUUGCCUUUUUGUAUGUACUUUAUGAAUAAGGAUCGGCUAACUCCGUGCCAGCAGCCGCGGUAAUACGGAAGAUCCGAGCGUUAUCCGGAUUUAUUGGGUUUAAAGGGAGCGUAGAUGGGUUGUUAAGUCAGUUGUGAAAGUUUGCGGCUCAACCGUAAAAUUGCAAUUGAUACUGGCAGUCUUGAGUACAGUUGAGGUAGGCGGAAUUCGUGGUGGAGCGGUGAAAUGCUUAGAUAUCACGAAGAACUCCGAGUGCGAAGGCAGCUUACUAAACUGCCACUGACAUUGAUGCUCGAAAGUGUGGGUAUCAAACAGGAUUAGAGACCCGGGUAGUC